AUCACUUCUCGGCCUUUUGGCUAAGAUAAAUUAUAGUAUCUGUUGUUAUCAGUUUAAAAUGACUGCCAAGCUUUUAUCUGUUCCAUGACUAGCGAUGCAUACACAAUAUUUUUUGUUGUCGUUGUUGUUUGUUUUUAAGGCAAAAACAUCAAUAAAUAUCUUUUGGACCACUUUGAAUGUGAAAUUCUUC
rnacentral:snRNA from 1 species